UUGAGAGACGACACGACUUCGGAGGAGGAGAGAGUCAAGUGCGCGGCUCAUUUGAGAGACAACACUACCUCGGGGGAGGAGAGAAUCAUGGAGGAGGACUUGGAACACAUCUUGCGAUCAAGAAAUGUCGCUCAGGUGGAAGUUACGCGCAUGAAAAACGACAAGGUUGACAUGGCAGUAAUCAUGCAUCUGGCAUAGUUAACCACGUGAAGGGCAGUCUGCAAUUGUUUUCCAUUUGUGUAUUGUGUAUUAUUACAAUGUAAUCGAUUCCAUGUUAAUUCUCCAUUCCUUCCAUUUUCUGCACCACUUAUUCUCAUGAUGGUUUCAGGCAAGAUGGGAGUUUUCAGUUUUACCCAAAGGUCUGAAGUUUUAUAUUCCAUUUAAAAUGUUGAGAAUGAUGUUUGUAAGAAUUUGUCAAUGUGAAUAAAAUUUGUUCCAAAUCA